CAGGGUAGGGCUCCAGCUAAGCCACGUAGGCACUACGAUGGGCAACAGAAAGGUUGGUUUCUGGGCAAUUCAGAGAAACCAAGGACAGCUACCCCCAGAACUCAGAGUAGCCAACUGGGCUGCUCACAGGAGAUGCCUUAACUGAAAGGUGAUCAGACUCCACAGGAGACCCAGAGAAGAUGUGGAGGGAGCUCAGAGGCUGUCCUGGAGGAGACGUGGAGACAGCUCAGAGGCUGUCCCAGAGAAGACGUGGAAAGAGCUCAGAGGCUGUCCCAGAGAAGACGUGGAGAGCUCAGAGGAUGUCCCAGAGAAGACGUGGAGAGAGUUCAGAGGCUGUCCCGGAGAAGACGUGGAAAGAGCUCAGAAACUCAGAGACUGUCCCGGAGAAGACAUGGAAACAGCUCAGAGGCUGUCUGCAAGAAGAUGUGGAGAGAGUUCAGAGGCUGUCGUUACUGCUGCACUUGGCUGUUUUUCUUUGGAUAAUUAUUGCAAUCAAUUUUAGUAAUUCAGGUGUUAAAUCACAGUCAAGCACCUAUUUACCUAGUGGUAAAAUCCUUAAGUAAGUCAUAUUUGGUUGGGAAGAUCAAAGAAAUCACCCAGUCUCCCACAUCCGAAAUUGUGCA
rnacentral:lncRNA from 1 species